rnacentral:rRNA from 1 species
UACGAAGGGGGCUAGCGUUGCUCGGAAUCACUGGGCGUAAAGCGCACGUAGGCGGAUCUUUAAGUCAGGGGUGAAAUCCUGGAGCUCAACUCCAGAACUGCCUUUGAUACUGGGGAUCUCGAGUCCGGGAGAGGUGAGUGGAACUCCGAGUGUAGAGGUGAAAUGCGCAGAUAUCAGGAAGAACACCCGUGGCGAAGGCGGCUCUCUGGGACGGUACUGACGCUGAGACGCGAAAGCGUGGGGAGCGAACAGG